AUUGAACGCUGGCGGUAUGCUUAACACAUGCAAGUCGAACGUAGCAGGCCUUCGGGCGCUGACGAGUGGCGGACGGGUGAGUAACGCGUAGGAAUCUGCCUCAUAGUGGGGGACAACGUGGGAAACUCACGCUAAUACCGCAUACGCCUACGGGGGAAAGCGGGGAUCUUCGGACCUCGCGCUAUGAGAUGAGCCUGCGUUAGAUUAGCUAGUUGGUAGGGUAAAGGCCUACCAAGGCGACGAUCUAUAGCUGGUCUGAGAGGACGAUCAGCCACACUGGGACUGAGACACGGCCCAGACUCCUACGGGAGGCAGCAGUGGGGAAUAUUGGACAAUGGGCGCAAGCCUGAUCCAGCAAUACCGCGUGUGUGAAGAAGGCCUUAGGGUUGUAAAGCACUUUCAAUUGGGAGGAAAACCUGUCGGUCAAUACCCGGCAGCUUGACAUUACCUUUUAGAAGAAGCACCGGCUAACUCCGUGCCAGCAGCCGCGGUAAUACGGAGGGUG
rnacentral:rRNA from 1 species